rnacentral:misc_RNA from 1 species
GUUAUGAUGUGAGCAAGCUUCGUAGAACAACACACACUGACCCUCCACCAGAAGGAGAUGAAGGUCCCAAAGACACUAAAGGGAUAUGGUGGAUCAAAUCAAUAUUUGGAAAAUGAUUUAAGGUUUGAAGAAUAAUCGAAUUUUGUACCUUUGAGUUCAACGGAUUUGUUAAAUUUCCCCAGUUUGGUUUGUAUCUAAUGAAGAUUUUGUGCUUGGUUUUGUCGAAUGGUUGAAACGAAUCCUUUGUGCUGUUUGUAUAGUCUUCCAGAUAUUGUAUUUGCUGAAUAAUUUCUGAUGAAG